AACGAACGCUGGCGGCAGGCCUAACACAUGCAAGUCGAGCGCACCCUUCGGGGUGAGCGGCGGACGGGUGAGUAACGCGUGGGAACGUGCCCUUCUCUGCGGAAUAGCCUCGGGAAACUGAGAGUAAUACCGCAUACGCCCUUUGGGGGAAAGAUUUAUCGGAGAAGGAUCGGCCCGCGUUGGAUUAGGUAGUUGGUGGGGUAAUGGCCCACCAAGCCGACGAUCCAUAGCUGGUGUGAGAGGAUGAUCAGCCACACUGGGACUGAGACACGGCCCAGACUCCUACGGGAGGCAGCAGUGGGGAAUCUUAGACAAUGGGGGCAACCCUGAUCUAGCCAUGCCGCGUGAGUGAUGAAGGCCUUAGGGUUGUAAAGCUCUUUCAGCUGGGAAGAUAAUGACGGUACCAGCAGAAGAAGCCCCGGCUAACUCCGUG
rnacentral:rRNA from 1 species